UUUCGCAAUGCCCGAAAGGGUGACGAAGCGACGCCGCGUGGGUGAGGAAGGCCCUCGGGUUGUAAAGCCCUGUCAGGAGUUAAGAAAUGUAAGUGCGCUAAUAUCGCAUUUAUUUGACGAAGGCUCCGAAGGAAGUCACGGCUAACUCUGUGCCAGCAGCCGCGGUAAUACAGAGGUGGCAAGCGUUGUUCGGAAUUAUUGGGCGUAAAGAGCACGUAGGUGGGUUUGUAAGUCAGAUGUGAAAGCCUUCUGUUCAACGGAAGAAUUGCAUCUGAAACUGCGAGUCUUGAGUGUAGGAGGGGAGAAUGGAACUUCUGGUGGAGCGGUGAAAUGCGUAGAUAUCAGAAGGAACGCCGGCGGCGAAAGCGAUUCUCUGGCCUAUUACUGACACUCAGUGUGCGAAAGCUAGGGGAGCAAACGGGAUUAGAUACCCCGGUAGUCCUAGCCGUAAACGAUGGGCACUAAGUAGAGGGGUUUUA
rnacentral:rRNA from 1 species